rnacentral:rRNA from 1 species
UUUUCCUACGGGAGGCAGCAGUGAAGAAUAUUGGUCAAUGGACGAGAGUCUGAACCAGCCAAGUAGCGUGAAGGAUGACUGCCCUAUGGGUUGUAAACUUCUUUUAUAAAGGAAUAAAACGAGGCACGUGUGCCUUUUUGCAUGUACUUUAUGGAUAAGGAUCGGCUAACUCCGUGCCAGCAGCCGCGGUAAUACGGAGGAUCCGCGCGUUAUCCGAAUUUAUUGGGUUUAAAGGGAGCGUAGAUGGGUUGUUACGUCAGUUGUGAAAGUUUGCGGCUCAACCGUAAAAUGGCAAUUGAUACUGG